rnacentral:rRNA from 1 species
UAAGAGCGACGGGCGAUGUGUACAUAUUUUAGAGCUAAAAUCAAAUUGUUAAUCUCUACAAUUUUACUAUCAAAUCCAAUUUCAUUAACUUUUUCAUAAUUAAAUCCACAUAAAUAUAUUUUAUUGUAAUUCAUUUUCACUUAAAGAUAAACUACACCUUGAUUUGAUAUUAAUUUUAAUAUAAAUUACAGAAAAUUAUUAAUUCUUAUAAAAUAUUCUAAUAACAACGAUAUAUAAAUUGAUUCACAACUUUAAGUAAGGUACAUCGCGGAUUAUCGAUUAAGAAACAAAUUCCUCUGAAUAGACUAAAACACCGCCAAAUUUUUUAAGUUUCAAGAACAUAACUACUACUACUCAAAUAAAUUAAUUUACAUUUCAAAUAAUAGGGUAUCUAAUCCUAGUUUA